UAUAUUCUCCGCUGGGGGGGGAUGAGAACCCCCGACCGGGGUUCGACAACUGGCAACGCCAGUUGGACAGACCGCGAGCCUGCGAGCGGGCUGCCCCGCAGGGGCGAGCGAAGCGAGUCAAUCCCCCUCUCACCGCCA
rnacentral:sRNA from 1 species